AUGGUGUUGACUGCAAUGGGAUCCUUGGGGUUUACUGCUUCUCUCCAACCUCUGGAGUUGCAGGACUCCAUGAGUGUCGUCAAUGGCCAGAUGGGCGACGGCGGCGCGACCGCACAUCCACGAUUCCAUGGCAUCGCAGAUGACCAGAUGGGCCGCGGUGGCGAGGGCAUAGAGAUGUAUGGGAACACCGGCUUUUGCGGCGUGAUCAGAAGCUAUAAGCGGCUGGACAAGGAGAGUGGAGUUUCAUUGAGAGCUAACCUGCCAAUCGAGAGGCAUGCCAAUAAUGUUUACGUCCGGGUGACUUUUGAUCAAUUUAGCAAAGUUAUGUACAAAGCUGGUGCAUAUGUGCUGGAAGAACUAGAACUGAACAUAUGUUAG
rnacentral:rRNA from 1 species